rnacentral:lncRNA from 1 species
UGGCGGCGCGAUGGAGCAGCGAGAACGUAGUGGUAGAGUUUCGUGACUCCCAGGCAACUGCGAUGUCUGUGACUGUCUUGGGCAACAUGCAGUGCUUUCUGGCGGCAGAUUCUUAUACAUCGUCAAUCUCGAUGUCGCUUUCGAAGGUCACCGAAAGAUCUGUCGCCAGAGCAAAUGGAACAUUGGAGCUGUGCAGUGGAAACUUCGUGACAGCUUUGUACACUAUUUUUCAGCUU